rnacentral:rRNA from 1 species
UACGUAGGGACCGAGCGUUAGGCGGAAUCACUGGGCUUAAAGCGUGUGUAGGCGGGCCGUUAAGUAUCCUGUGAAAUCCCCCGGCUCAACCGGGGAAUGGCUGGAUAUACUGGCGGUCUUGAGCAGUUCAGGGGCAGAUGGAACAGACGGUGGAGCGGUGAAAUGCGUAGAUAUCGUCUGGAACGCCAAAGGUGAAGACAGUCUGCUGGGAACUUGCUGACGCUGAGACGCGAAAGCGUGGGGAGCAAACAGG